rnacentral:rRNA from 1 species
GAUGAACGCUGGCGGCGUGCCUAAUACAUGCAAGUCGAGCGGAGAAUGUAGCAAUACGUUCUUAGCGGCGAACGGGUGAGUAACGCGUUGGUGACCUGCCCCGAAGAGGGGGAUAACAGUUCGAAAGGACUGCUAAUACCCCAUGUUAUCAUAAGGAUUAGAUGCCUUAUGAUUAAAGGAGAAAUCCGCUUUGGGAGGGACCUGCGUCCCAUCAGCUAGUUGGUAGGGUUACGGCCUACCAAGGCUAUGACGGGUAGGGGACCUGAGAGGGUGGCCCCCCA